GCACAAUUAAAGGCAUUUUGAGCCAUAUUUUCUCUCCUUCACGGUUACAUCUAGUUAAUUUCAGAAAGGAGAACUCUUGGGCCUACAUAGAAGAGGGGAUUGAGGAGUGAACUUAUCUCAAGGUUUUAUAAACCAAAACCAUUUAAAGGUGGGAGCACAAGAGAUAGCACUCCAGACUCUGUAUUACCAGCUGAGCCGUGAAGAGCCUUGUCAAAGAUCCAGAGCAUGUAAUUUUAUUUUGAGUAAUUGCUAGCUAAUGUAACCACAAGAGUACUCGUAUGUCUUUAUUUUGUUAGUUAGAUGCUCCACGUAAUCUUGGGUUAGGUCCUAGUCUUUUGGGUUAUUUUGGAAUGUAAUUAUAUACAUUGGUAUCGGGGAGCAGACCUCCAAAUUUUAUUCAAAAAGAAAUGUGCUAGCAGAUGAUGGGUUUUAUUCAAAGAGAUCCUUUUGUUUA